AGAUUUGAUCUGGAGUCAAGAGGAGCCACAGAACAUGGGCUGCUGGUCAUUUGUAUCACCAAGAUUUGAAAAACAGUUAGCCUGCAAGUUGAGAUUAGUCAGUAGACCAGCAUUACCGGCUCCUGCCGUGGGGAUCGGUACCCUCCACCAUCAGCAGCAUGAAGCCAUCCUGACCGCGUCUUUCUCCUGAGACCACACAACCAUAAACUUCCAAGAAGUGAUCGUCUUAGUGUAGCAAACAAGCGAUGACUGAUACACUGACAACAAACGCCAAGUACUAUUUGUAGCCUGAGCACUAAACAGAGGUUUGGCUGUUUAAUGCAUCCCCUUAUUUAGGUAUAAGGGAACUUUUUGAAAGUAUCAUAAUUGAUAUUUCAGAAGUAAUAUUUGGCACAUAAAAAAAAAAAUUUGUAUAGAAGAAAUGUAGAAAACGAACAAAGCAUACAUGCGUGUUGUGUAUGUAAUUUUUUUUAAGCACUUUUCAAUUAAAUUUGAUAUACAU